rnacentral:rRNA from 1 species
AAAUUGAAGAGUUUGAUCAUGGCUCAGAUUGAACGCUGGCGGCAGGCCUAACACAUGCAAGUCGAACGGUAACAGGAAGAAGCUUGCUUCUUUGCUGACGAGUGGCGGACGGGUGAGUAAUGUCUGGGAAACUGCCUGAUGGAGGGGGAUAACUACUGGAAACGGUAGCUAAUACCGCAUAAUGUCGCAAGACCAAAGAGGGGGACCUUCGGGCCUCUUGCCAUCGGAUGUGCCCAGAUGGGAUUAGCUAGUAGGUGGGGUAACGGCUCACCUAGGCGACGAUCCCUAGCUGGUCUGAGAGGAUGACCAG